rnacentral:rRNA from 1 species
AGCGAACGCUGGCGGCAGGCCUAAUACAUGCAAGUCGAGCGGGUCCUUCGGGAUUAGCGGCGGACGGGUGAGUAACGCGUGGGAACGUGCCCUUUGGUACGGAACAACUGAGGGAAACUUCAGCUAAUACCGUAUGUGCCCUUCGGGGAAAGAUUUAUCGCCAUUGGAGCGGCCCGCGUUGGAUUAGGUAGUUGGUGAGGUAAAGGCUCACCAAGCCUACGAUCCAUAGCUGGUCUGAGAGGAUGACCAGCCACACUGGGACUGAGACACGGCCCAGACUCCUACGGGAGGCAGCAGUAGGGAAUCUUGCGCAAUGGGCGAAAGCCUGACGCAGCCAUGCCGCGUGAAUGAUGAAGGUCUUAGGAUUGUAAAAUUCUUUCACCGGGGACGAUAAUAGACGGUACCCGGAGAAGAAAGCCCCGGCUAACUUCGUGCCAGCAGCCGCGGU